AAAAUUCAAUAAUAAGAAAGUGAUAGGAACCAAGGUUUAUGAUUAAUCUAGUACCUCAUGACUCCAGUUCUUU
rnacentral:snoRNA from 1 species